GAGAGAAGCUGUGGGGGUGGGUAGGCUCACCAUGGAACAAUCUGCACUGCAGCUACCAUUUUUACAUUGAUCUCUACAGCCACAUUGUUAUACUAUCAAUGCAUGAAGAAGACCUGUUGAAGGUUGAAACGCGUUGAUCGAUAUGCAGGAGGAUUCAUUGUCUACAUAUAUUUUUAAUGAAAGGAAUAAAAAUCCCUUGACUUUACUCGCUGGAUCCAAUUGGACUGUUGUGACACAGCUAUUACAUGUGGGUCAGAUCCAUGUUCACAGGCAGGGGGGACACAGCUAUUACAUGUAGGUUAUAUCCAUGUACACAGGCAGGGGGGACACAGCUAUUACAUGUAGGUCAGAUCCAUGUACACAGGCAGGGGGGACACAGCUAUUAGAUGUAGGUUAUAUCCAUGUACACAGGCAGGGGGGACACAGCUAUUACAUGUAGGUCAGAUCCAUGUACACAGGCAGGGGGGACACAGCUAUUACAUGUAGGUUAUAUCCAUGUACACAGGCAGGGGGGACACAGCUAUUACAUGUAGGUUAGAUCCAUGUACACAGGCAGGGGGGGACACAGCUAUUACAUGUGGGUCAGAUCCAUGUUCACAGGCAGGGGGGACACAGCUAUUACAUGUAGGUUAUAUCCAUGUACACAGGCAGGGGGGACACAGCUAUUACAUGUAGGUCAGAUCCAUGUACACAGGCAGGGGGGACACAGCUAUUACAUGUAGGUCAGAUCCAUCUACACAGGCAGCGGGGACACAGCUAUUACAUGUAGGUUAUAUCCAUGUACACAGGCAGGGGGGACACAGCUAUUACAUGUGGGUUAGAUCCAUGUACACAGGCAGGGGGGACACAGCUAUUACAUGUAGGUUAGAUCCAUGUACACAGGCAGGGGGGGACACAGCUAUUACAUGUAGGUUAGAUCCAUGUACACAGGCAGGGGGGACACAGCUAUUACAUGUAGGUCAGAUCCAUGUACACAGGCAGGGGGGACACAGCUAUUACAUGUAGGUUAUAUCCAUGUACACAGGCAGGGGGGACACAGCUAUUACAUGUAGGUCAGAUCCAUGUACACAGGCAGGGGGGACACAGCUAUUACAUGUAGGUCAGAUCCAUCUACACAGGCAGCGGGGACACAGCUAUUACAUGUAGGUUAUAUCCAUGUACACAGGCAGGGGGGACACAGCUAUAACAUAUAGGUCAGAUCCAUGUACACAGGCAGGGGUGACAGCUAUUACAUGUAGGAUCCAUGUACACAGGCGGGGGGGGGGGGGGCACAGCUAUUACAUGUAGGUUAGAUCCAUGUACACAGGCAGGGGUGACACAGCUAUUACAUAUAUGUCAGAUCCAUGUACACAGGCAGGGGGGACACAGCUAUUACAUGUAGGUUAGAUCCAUGUACACAGGCAGGGGUGACACAGCUAUUACAUGUGGGUCAGAUCCAUGUUCACAGGCAGGGGGGACACAGCUAUUACAUGUGGGUCAGAUCCAUGUACACAGGCAGGGGUGACACAGCUAUUACAUAUAGGUCAGAUCCAUGUACACAGGCAGGGGUGACAGCUAUUACAUGUAGGUUAGAUCCAUGUACACAGGCAGGGGGGACACAGCUAUUACAUGUAGGUUAGAUCCAUGUACACAGGCAGGGAUGACACAGCUAUUACAUGUAGGUUAGAUCCAUGUACACAGGCGGGGGGGCACAGCUAUUACAUGUAGGUUAGAUCCAUGUACACAGGCAGGGGGGGACACAGCUAUUACAUGUAGGUUAGAUCCAUGUACACAGGCAGGAGUGACACAGCUAUUACAUAUAGGUCAGAUCCAUGUACACAGGCAGGGGUGACAGCUAUUACAUGUAGGUCAGAUCCAUGUACACAGGCAGGGGGGACACAGCUAUUACAUGUAGGUCAGAUCUGUGUACACAGGCAGGGGGGACACAGCUAUUACAUGUAGGUUAGAUCCAUGUACACAGGCAGGGGGGACACAGCUAUUACAUGUGGGUUAGAUCCAUGUACACAGGCAGGGGGGGACACAGCUAUUACAUGUAGGUUAGAUCCAUGUACACAGGCAGGGGGGACACAGCUAUUACAUGUAGGUUAGAUCCAUGUACACAGGCAGGGGGGACACAGCUAUUACAUGUGGGUUAGAUCCAUGUACACAGGCAGGGGGGACACAGCUAUUACAUGUAGGUUAGAUCCAUGUACACAGGCAGGGGGGGGACAUAGCUAUUACAUGUAGGUUAGAUCCAUGUGCACAAGCAGGGGACACAGCUAUUACAUGUGGGUCAGAUCCAUGUACACAGGCAGGGGGGACACAGCUAUUACAUGUGGGUUAGAUCCAUGUACACAGGCAGGGGGGGACACAGCUAUUACAUGUAGGUUAGAUCCAUGUACACAGGCAGGGGGGGACACAGCUAUUACAUGUAGGUUAGAUCCAUGUACACAGGCAGGGGGGGACACAGCUAUUACAUGUAGGUUAGAUCCAUGUACACAGGCAGGGGGGACACAGCUAUUACAUGUAGGUUAGAUCCAUGUACACAGGCAGGGGUGACACAGCUAUUACAUGUAGGUCAGAUUCAUGUACACAGGCAGGGGGGACACAGCUAUUACAUGUAGGUCAGAGCCAUGUACACAGGCAGGGGGGACACAGCUAUUACAUGUAGGUCAGAGCCAUGUACACAGGCAGGGGGGACACAGCUAUUACAUGUAGGUCAGAUCCAUGUACACAGGCAGGGGUGACACAGCUAUUACAUGUAGGUCAGAUCCAUGUACACAGGCAGGGGGGACACAGCUAUUACAUGUAGGUUAGAUCCAUGUACACAGGCAGGGGGGACACAGCUAUUACAUGUAGGUUAGAUCCAUGUACACAGGCAGGGGGGACACAGCUAUUACAUGUAGGUCAGAUCCAUGUACACAGCUAUUACAUGUAGGUUAGAUCCAUGUACACAGGCAGGGGUGACACAGCUAUUACAUGUAGGUUAGAUCCAUGUACACAGGCAGGGGUGACACAGCUAUUACAUGUAGGUCAGAUCCAUGUACACAGGCAGGGGGACACAGCUAUUACAUGUAGGUCAGAUCCAUGUACACAGGCAGGGGUGACACAGCUAUUACAUGUAGGUCAGAUCCAUGUACACAGGCAGGGGGGACACAGCUAUUACAUGUGGGUCAGAUCUGUGUACACAGGUAGGGGUGACACACCUAUUACAUGUAGGUUAGAUCCAUGUACACAGGCAGGGGUGACACACCUAUUACAUGUCGGUUAGAUCCAUGUACACAGGCAGGGGGGACACAGCUAUUACAUGUAGGUUAGAUCCAUGUACACAGGCAGGGGGGACACAGCUAUUACAUGUAGGUUAGAUCCAUGUACACAGGCAGGGAUGACACAGCUAUUACAUGUAGGUUCGAUCCAUGUACACAGGCGGGGGGGCACAGCUAUUACAUGUAGAUUAGAUCCAUGUACACAGGCAGGGAUGACACAGCUAUUACAUGUAGGUUAGAUCCAUGUACACAGGCGGGGGGGGCACAGCUAUUACAUGUAGGUUAGAUCCAUGUACACAGGCAGGGGACACAGCUAUUACAUGUGGGUCAGAUCCAUGUACACAGGCAGGGGGGACACAGCUAUUACAUGUAGGUUAGAUCCGUGUACACAGGCAGGGGGGACACAGCUAUUACAUGUAGGUUAGAUCCAUGUACACAGGCAGGGGUGACACAGCUAUUACAUGUAGGUUAGAUCCAUGUACACAGGCAGGGGUGACACAGCUAUUACAUGUGGGUCAGAUCCGUGUACACAGGCAGGGGUGACACAGCUAUUACAUGUAGGUUAGAUCCAUGUACACAAGCAGGGGACACAGCUAUUACAUGUAGGUUAGAUCCAUGUACACAGGCAGGGGUGACACACCUAUUACAUGUAGGUUAGAUCCAUGUACACAGGGAGGGGUGACACACCUAUUACAUGUAGGUUAGAUCCAUGUACACAGGCAGGGGGGACACAGCUAUUACAUAGGUUAGAUCCAUGUACACAGGCAGGGGUGACACAGCUAUUACAUGUGGGUCAGAUCCGUGUACACAGGCAGGGGGGACACAGCUAUUACAUGUAGGUUAGAUCCAUGUACACAGGCAGGGGUGACACAGCUAUUACAUGUGGGUCAGAUACAUGUACACAGGCAGGGGGGACACAGCUAUUACAUGUGGGUCAGAUACAUGUACACAGGCAGGGGGGACACAGCUAUUACAUGUAGGUUAGAUCCAUGUACACAGGCAGGGGACACAGCUAUUACAUGUGGGUCAGAUCCAUGUACACAGGCAGGGGUGACACAGAUAUUACAUGUAGGUUAUAUCCAUGUACACAGGCAGGGGGGACACAGCUAUUACAUGUAGGUCAGAUCCAUGUACACAGGCAGGGGGGACACAGCUAUUACAUGUAGGUCAGAUCCAUGUACACAGGCAGGGGGGACACAGCUAUUACAUGUAGGUCAGAUCCAUGUACACAGGCAGGGGGGGACACAGCUAUUACAUGUAGGUCAGAUCCAUGUACACAGGCAGGGGGACACAGCUAUUACAUGUAGGUCAGAUCCAUGUACACAGGCAGGGGGACACAGCUAUUACAUGUAGGUCAGAUCCAUGUACACAGGCAGGGGUGACACAGCUAUUACAUGUAGGUUAUAUCCAUGUACACAGGCAGGGGGGACACAGCUAUUACAUGUAGGUCAGAUCCAUGUACACAGGCAGGGGUGACACAGCUAUUACAUGUAGGUCAGAUCCAUGUACACAGGCAGGGGGGACACAGCUAUUACAUGUAGGUUAGAUCCAUGUACACAGGCAGGGGGGACACAGCUAUUACACCUGGGUCUGAGCCAGGCACACACGCUGGCAGGACUGC